GCCGGGCGUGGUGGCGCGCGCCUGUAAUCCCAGCUACUCAGGAGGCUGAGGCAGGAGAAUCGCUUGAACCCGGGAGGCGGAGGUUGCAGUGAGCCGAGAUGGCACCACUGCACUCCAGCCUGGGUGACAGAGCAAGACUCCAUCUCAA
ensembl:misc_RNA Metazoa_SRP Metazoan signal recognition particle RNA